rnacentral:lncRNA from 1 species
GCGCCCCGCAGGAGCCUCCUCCUCCCGCCGGCGCGGCGCCUGUGCCCUGGUCCCGGUGUCCCCGCUCGGUGCCACCGAAGGAUCUAGGGGCUCGGGCCGGGGAGGGGGUGGAGGGGGGAGUGGAGGCGCGAUACGAACCCGUGGGAGCCUCCCCAACCCCGCAGUCCCAGCGGCAAACUGUGCUUGGUCGGACGGAUGCCCGCGCGGAGGGGUAGCCACGGGAGUGCCUCCGCCCAUGACAGCAGUGUGCAGGAAGCUGACCUGGAGCUGGGAAGCCGGGAGAAGGCACGUGGGGUUCCACCUAGAUAAACCCCAAAAAGACAGCUCCAGUGAGGGACUAGCAAACCUGAGACCAGGGAACUGAAACACAGAGAAGUCCAAUGACUUGUCCAAGGUCACACGGCUAGAAGGCAGAAGAGCAAGGAUUCAGCCUGGGUUGGCUCAACUCUCACCUGUGUUUUUGUUGUUGUUGUUGUUAUUUUGUUUGUUUGUUUUGAGACAUAGUCACAUAGUCUCACUCACCUCCUCCUCUCCUCUCCUUAAG